AUUCCAGACCUAAUUCCAGAAAACUCACCAUGGAUGGCAACAAACCCACCUCCAAAUUCCGUAGAAAAUCAUCAUACGGUACCUCUAGGAGGUCGAUUCUGAAGAAGACUUUCAAUCAGGAGCAAGUAACCUUCACUUCUGCUCUCUCCGAUGACCCCCUUAUUGCCAUUAUUGGCGGCGGCAUGGCCGGAAUAAUGUGUGCUCUGAGU
rnacentral:misc_RNA from 1 species